rnacentral:rRNA from 1 species
CUGGCGGCGUGCCUAAUACAUGCAAGUCGAACGGCUUUUCUAUGGAAGCUUGCUUCCACUGAGAAGAUAGUGGCGAACGGGUGAGUAACACGUGGGUAACCUGCCCAUAAGAGGGGGAUAACAUCCGGAAACGGGUGCUAAUACCGCAUAGUUUUCUUGAUCGCAUGAUUGAGAAAGGAAAGACGGCCUUUGUGCUGUCGCUUAUGGAUGGACCCGCGGCGUAUUAGUUAGUUGGUGAGGUAACGGCUCACCAAGACGAUGAUACGUAGCCGACCUGAGAGGGUGAUCGGCCACAUUGGGACUGAGACACGGCCCAAACUCCUACGGGAGGCAGCAGUAGGGAAUCUUCCGCAAUGGACGAAAGUCUGACGGAGCAACGCCGCGUGAGUGAAGAAGGUUUUUUCGGAUCGUAAAACUCUGUUGUCAGAGAAGAACAAGUUGGAGAGUAACUGCUCCAGCCUUGACGGUAUCUGACCAGAAAGCCACGGCUAACUACGUGCCAGCAGCGGC